GAUGAAGAACGUAGCGAAAUGCGAUAAGUAGUGUGAAUUGCAGAAUUCAGUGAAUCAUCGAAUCUUUGAACGCACAUUGCGCCCCUUGGUAUUCCAUGGGGCAUGCCUGUUCGAGCGUCAUUUCAACCAUCAAGCCCCCGGCUUGUGUUGGGGACCUGCGGCUGCCGCAGGCCCUGAAAACCAGUGGCGGGCUCGCUAGUCACUCCGAGCGUAGUAAUACAUCUCGCUCAGGGCGUGCUGCGGGUUCCGGCCGUUAAAAAGCCUUAUUUACCCAAGGUUGACCUCGGAUCAGGUAGGAAGACCCGCUGAACUUAAGCAUAUCAAUAAGCGGAGGA
rnacentral:misc_RNA from 1 species